GCAUCCACUUUUAAACUAAACAUUAUUGUAACAAAUUGUAGUCUUAUUAUAACAUAAUAAAACUUUCAACAACGGAUCUCUUGGCUCUCGCAUCGAUGAAGAACGCAGCGAAAUGCGAUAAGUAAUGUGAAUUGCAGAAUUCAGUGAAUCAUCGAAUCUUUGAACGCACCUUGCGCUCCUUGGUAUUCCGAGGAGCAUGCCUGUUUGAGUGUCAUGAAACCCUCAAACCCAAGUUUUGGAUUUCGAUCCAUGCUUGAGUUUGGAUUUGGAUGUUUGCCGGUGAUGAACCGACUCAUCUUAAAAGUAUUAGCUUGGAUCUGUCUAUAUGACUGGUUUGACUUGGCAUAAUAAGUAUUUUGCUGAGGACAUCUUCGGAUGGCCAGGACCUAGACUACUGUCUGCUAACUAAACCAUCACUUUAAGUGCAUCUUUGGAUGUUACUCAUUGUGUAACUUUGACAUCUGGCCUCAAAUCAAGUAGGACUACCCGCUGAACUUAAGCAU
rnacentral:rRNA from 1 species